rnacentral:lncRNA from 1 species
AUGAACUUUGGACCUGCCUCAGCUCACUGGACUGUGAACAGAAUCUGUUCUUGCUCCAAACCUUGCUUUUUUUUUUUUUUUUUUUUUUUUUUUGAUGCUAUAGGGCUGUGCUAUGACCACAGAGGAUGGUGUGUGUGCUCCAGCACCCUAGCUAAUCUUCCCUUGUGGAGUACCUGUGCUUUUGCUUUGGCUGCUGCAGGUUUACUUUCACUGUAGUGCAUCAGCCUGUGUCUCAGCUACUAUGAAUCCCUCCACACCUCACUAACCUUCUGAGAGGUAAGUGCUUUUCUUGGAGACAGUAAGAAAAUGGGAGACGCCAGCCUUGCUCUCUGUAGUGAAGAUGUGGCCUGAAAAGGCCUUGUGUCCUCAGUUUUAGGGUACCAGCUCAGGUUGGCUGUAGGCAGGACUGUGGAGGUACUUGGGCCAUGUGCUGCCGAAAGAAGAAGGGUAUCUGUUUAGCUGUGUGCUUGUCCUAGAUUUCCAGGCCUUUAGGUUUGAAGACCAGAUGUGGAGUAGCACUGAUUUUUAGGUAACCAUUAUGUCCUUUGAGAAUGAAUCACAGUAUGAUCUAUACUGAUCAAACUUCCCUGGUUCUCUUAGAGCUAUUCCUCCAGUAACUUGUGGGGGGGAAGCCUAUUUCAGAUUCUCACAAAAUCUAGUGUCUGAAUGGAAAAAUGCAAGUGCCUCGUUUUGAAGGGGCACAAGGAUUCAUGUUCAACCAGCCAUAGCCAUUCAGUCUAAAAUGACACUUGCAGAACUGCACCAGAAUAUGGGUCCUUCCCAUGGUUAUGGUUAAAAUGAAAGUAGCUUAAUUGGGAUUCAAGC